CAAUCGGUUCUUAUCAGAACCAAUAAUUGUCGAUAAUAAUAAUGAU
rfam:Dendroctonus ponderosae Seq01040209, whole genome shotgun sequence.